AGAUCCUCUUAAAGCCUCCCGAGCACAAAGGCAAGCUCUACAGCGUGUUGCCAAGGACAUAAUUUAUAACUCAGAGCUUUCCCCUCCAGCCUGGAGAACAUCGGCACUCCCCGGUCACGUGAUGACAGGAAACCCCGUGCACACAGCGGCAGCGCUCAGUGCAGCCAGCCCCGUACAGGCCUGCUUCACACUCUGCUCACAGGAAGCCUGAGUGACCCACCUUUCUCACAGCGCUCUCCAACCCAACCGGCUCUGCAGCUGCACCGGCCUGCCUGGCUGUCGCACACGCCGCCGUUCUCACAUUCACACCGCUGCUGGCAGUCUGCCCCAAAACGGCCCGCUGUGCAUUCUGUCCACACACAGCCACACGCACAGACAGACAGACAGACAGACCGAGAAAGACAUGACGGGCACAGAGUUUGGAGACAUUCCUGCGACAAGAUUAGAGGUUUCCUGUGCAGGAGGAGGAAGAGGAGGAGGAGGAGGAGGAAGGGGGGGUCCUGGCACAGUCCGACAGCGAAAGGUUGAAACAGUCACUGAGGGAGGAUAGAGUGUGAAGGAGAGCCCAGAGGAAGAAGAAGCCAGAAUAUCAUCACCGGGUCGAGUCAGAAACACACUCACUGGCAGCAAAUAACCAGACUUCAAGCAGAAAUAAAUGAGCUUAGGCCACAAAUUAAACUUUAAAGAAUAGUGAAAUAAAAAAAGAAAUACAUGAACCCCAAAGCAUCAUGUUGAAUGUUUUCUUCAGGGUCUCUGAUGUUUUUCUUCUUUUCUGUCCCCCAUCAUUAUGAUUUGAGCAAACAAGAAUCCUUUCCAGGUAUCUGAAACUCCUGUUCCCAUGUUCCACGUUCCUGUAACUUCUGAAAGCAUCCCUGCUCUAACACAUCAGAAGGCUGUCUUAAUGGAAUGGCAUUUUCUCCUGUCUUUCCCAUUUUGAAGAGCAGCAAAAAGAAAUGUCAGAUUUAUACCCUCAGGAAACAGGAAUUUAUUUGUUAGCAAUAAAGAUUCCUAGACACUAUAAUUAAAUUGAAGAAGUAAAUUAACUUUUUAAAUAUGCUUAAAUAUUAAUUAUGAAAAGAACUGUAUAACCCAUGUUGUAAAUACAUUCAUUUCUUAACCAUACAUUUCCCCUAUUGAUUAAAUAUCCUUUGAUUUUUUUG